rnacentral:rRNA from 1 species
GACGAACGCUGGCGGCGUGCCUAAUACAUGCGAGUAGAACGCUGAAGGAGGAGCUUGCUUCUCUGGAUGAGUUGCGAACGGGUGAGUAACGCGUAGGUAACCUGCCUGGUAGCGGGGGAUAACUAUUGGAAACGAUAGCUAAUACCGCAUAAUAGUAGAUGUUGCAUGACAUUUGCUUAAAAGGUGCAAUUGCAUCACUACCAGAUGGACCUGCGUUGUAUUAGCUAGUUGGUGAGGUAACGGCUCACCAAGGCAACGAUACAUAGCCGACCUGAGAGGGUGAUCGGCCACACUGGGACUGAGACACGGCCCAGACUCCUACGGGAGGCAGCAGUAGGGAAUCUUCGGCAAUGGACGGAAGUCUGACCGAGCAACGCCGCGUGAGUGAAGAAGGUUGUCGGAUCGUAAAGCUCUGUUGUAAGAGAAGAACGAGUGUGAGAGUGGAAAGUUCACACUGUGACGGUAUCUUACCAGAAAGGGACGGCUAACUACGUG